CCUGGUUGAUCCUGCCAGUAGUGAUAUGCUUGUCUCAAAGUUUAAGCCAUGCAUGUCUGAGUACAGACCGAUCUAAGGUGAAACCGCGAAUGGCUCAUUAAAUCAGUCAUAAUUCCUUGGAUAGUGACAAACUUCCUCGGAUAACUGUGGAAAAUCCAGAGCUAAUACGUGCAACUGAGCUCCGACCUAGUAGCGUAAAGCGAUUGGGGAAGAGCGCAUUUAUUAGAUUCAAAACUGACACGGCGUAUUUGAUGCGCCGUUUGUCGAAUGUUUGAUGACUCCGGAUAACUUAGCCGAGCGCUACGGUCUUAGUACCGGCGCCGUAUCUUUCAAGUGUCUGCCUUAUCAGCUUUCGAUUGUAGGUUAAACGCCUACAAUGGCUGUAACGGGUAACGGGGAAUCAGGGUUCGAUUCCGGAGAGGGAGCCUGAGAAACGGCUACCACAUCUAAGGAAGGCAGCAGGCACGCAAAUUACCCAAUCCCAGCCCGGGGAGGUAGUGACGAAAAAUAACGAUGCGAGACUCUUCCGAGGCCUCGCAAUCGGAAUGAGUCCAUUUUAAAUCCUUGGACGAGGAUCCAUUGGAGGGCAAGUCUGGUGCCAGCAGCCGCGGUAAUUCCAGCUCCAAUAGCGUAUAUUAAAGUUGCUGCGGUUAAAAAGCUCGUAGYUGGACUUACUAGAUCCAUUUCGCGAGCGAGUCGCUCGUUGAACUAACGUUUCUCGCGUCAGUCACUCGAUGACGUUUGUCGUUGCGUAUGAGGUCGCGAGCCCCUGCCGAUCGUUCAUACGAUUGGUACGGUUCGGCUCGUCCUCGUCGCUUCGCUCCGGAAUCUUGCGGACGGCGAGAUGUUAUCUUCGAGUACAUGCUCGUUCGCGUUUGGAUAAAAUUAAAAUUCUGUCGGCUCGCUCGGAGUGCUUGUAAUGACGAGUGUUCCAGGGUGGCCGACACGUUCACUUUGAAAAAAUUAGAGUGCUUAAAGCGGGGCUUAUCGCGGCCUGAAUGUCUGUGCAUGGAAUGAAGUAACAGGACCUCGAUUCUGUUAUUUUUGUCGGUUUUAUUGAACCGAGGUAAUGAUUAAAAGGGACAGACGGUGGCAUUAGUAUUGCGGCGCUAGAGGUGAAAUUCUUGGACCGCCGCAAGACUAACUACUGCGAAAGCGUUUGCCGAGAAUGUUUUCAUUAAUCAAGAACGAAAGUUAGAGGAUCGAAGGCGAUCAGAUACCGCCCUAGUUCUAACCCUAAACUAUGCUAACUAGCGAUCCGCCGGAGUCAUUCCCACGACCCGGCGGGAAGCCCCAGGGAAACCAAAGUCUUUGAGUUCCGGGGGAAGUAUGGUUGCAAAGCUGAAACUUAAAGGAAUUGACGGAAGGGCACCACCAGGAGUGGAGCCUGCGGCUUAAUUUGACUCAACACGGGAAACCUCACCAGGCCCAGACAUCAUAAAGAUUGACAGGUUGAGGGCUCUUUCUCGAUUUGAUGGGUGGUGGUGCAUGGCCGUUCUUAGUUGGUGGAGUGAUCUGUCUGGUUGAUUCCGAUAACGAACGAGACUCUACCCUACUAACUAGUCGGCGGAUCGUAACCCUGCAGACGGUCAGUUGGUAUAGGUCGGUUGUACGUAGACGAGCGGUCGUGGCGUCGGCGUCUAGCGCGUAAGGAGGGUGCUUUUUACGGUGUGCUGGGGAACCAUUUCGGUGGAACUUUGGCAUUAUCGGGCCAAUCUCCCCGCGUUAGUUCGUCGGCGUUCGAUUUAACGUCGAUGUUUCCGUCCGAUUACCGCUACUGCUAACGGGGGCGUCCGUCGCAAUGUAUCUUCUUAGAGGGAUCAGUGGCGUAUAGCCGCACGAGAAAGAGCAAUAACAGGUCUGUGAUGCCCUUAGAUGUUCUGGGCCGCACGCGCGCUACAAUGUAGAGACCAGCGUGCUUUCCCCCUCCGAAAGGAGCGGGUAACCCGUUGAAAGCCCUACCCGAUUGGGAUUGGGGAUUGCAAAUAUUUCCCAUAAACGAGGAAUUCCCAGUAAGCGCGAAUCAUUAAUUCGCGCUGAUUACGUCCCUGCCCUUUGUACACACCGCCCGUCGCUACUACCGAUUGAAUGAUUCAGUGAGGGCAUCGGACUGGCGCCUUCGGUUUAAUAGACCUUAGGCUGACGGAAAGAUGUCCGAACUUGAUCAUUUAGAGGAAGUAAAAGUCGUAACAAGGUUUCCGUAGGUGAACCUGCGGAAGGAUCAA
rnacentral:rRNA from 1 species